GAGCGGACAUGGCAGCCAUGCAGAUGGAGCGGGAAGUUCUGAUACAGUUUUUGGAGUUGCAUAAGGAAUUUGGGUGUUUAUGGGACAUAUAUAGCAAACAGUAUAGCAACAAAGAUGCUAGAAAUCAGGCUCUUGAGAUCCUGUUGGAACAAUUAAAACGUAUCGAAGGUGAUGCAACAAUUGUGACAGUUAAAAAGAAAAUCGAAAAUAUGAGAGCUGCAUACAAAAGAGAAUGGAAGAAAGUGCAAGAAAGUAAAAGUACAUGAGCAGGCAAAGAGGAUGUAUACGUUCCUUCUUUAUGGUACUACGAACAUCUGAACUUUCUCAAUGAAAAGGACUCGGUAGACAGAAAAGGAACGGACACUCUCAGCACCUGCGGGGACGAUGGAGAUGUCAAUGAAAUUAAUUCUACUUCAAGAUGCUACGGAAAUGUGAUAACAGUGUGAAUAACUUUUGCUAUGUUUGCCAUGAAGUGACUUUUGAUUCUCAGAAAUGUGAAUUGACUUCAUUAAUAAAGACAGCAUAUUACCAUUGCUUUGACUGUAAAAUAGAUAAGGGUAAACAUUGGGCACCAAAUAUUUGCUGUAAUUCAUGUGCAGUAAUCCUCCGUUGUUGGUUAAAGGAAACAGUGAAGUCAAUGCCAUUCGCAGUUCCCAUGACAUGGCGAGAACCUACAAAUCAUGUCACUGAUUGUUAUUUAUGUAUUGUGACUCCUCUUAAACAUGGCAUGUUAAGAAAGAAGAAAAAAACGAACCAUCACUUAUCCAACUUCAACAUCGGCAACACGACCUGUACCACAUGGAGAAAGUCUGCCUGUUCCUAUCCCUCCGAAACAUCAUGUCCUAGAAUCUGAUGAAGACAUGGAAGGAGAAUACAACCAACAGCCAGAGGAUUUACAGGAAGAUCCAAACUAUACACCAGAACCGAUCUCGCCCAGUAGGUCACAUAAAAUUACUCACGAAGAACUUAAUGAUUUGAUUCGUGAUCUGUAGUUACCAAAAAGCAAGGCCGAACUUCUUGCCUCCAGGCUUCAGCAGUGGAAUCUCCUGGCGAAUAGUGUGAAAGUGUGUGCAUAUAGACAUCAAGAAAGAGACUUGAUACCAUUCUUUCAAAUGGAAAACAACCUUGUUGCCUGCAAUGACGUAAAUGGUCUGAUGACAUAUAUGAGAAUGGAGCAUAUUCCGAA